UACAGAGGUCUCGAGCGUUAGGCGGAAUCACUGGGCUUAAAGCGUGUGUAGGUGGAUCGUUAAGUACCUUGUGAAAUCCCACGGCUUAACCGUGGAACUGCUUGGUAUACUGGCGGUCUUGAGCCAGCUAGGGGCUACCGGAACAAAUGGUGGAGCGGUGAAAUGCGUAGAUAUCGGAAGGAACAUCAAUGGCGAAGGCAGCUACCUGGACUGAUACUGACACUGAGGCGCGAGAGCGUGGGUAGCAAACAGG
rnacentral:rRNA from 1 species